GCGCGAGGAGCUAUAACCGCAUCAGGCCAGACGGAAAAGAAGUUCACGGCUGCACAGCAUUGGCGGCGGCGGCCACAAAUCAAAUGGCUCCUGUGCGUGGAGCGGCAGGUUCACUGCCUCCUGCCUACGGUGAGUGCUUUUGUUCUUUGAUUAGUGAUGGCCAUGGUAAUUAGCUCACUAUGGUUUUAGUAAUUGAUGCAUGGCCAUGCCCGUGGAUGUGCUGGCAUAUUAGAUUUGAUCUGUAUAAACUAUUUGCGAUACGUUGUGCUUGUUGCACCCAAUUAUUUUGUCAUUGAGGCCCUGAUGAUGAUGAAUUCAGUGUUGAGAUGCACCAUGGUGGGUUUUUCUGUGGAUCUGGAAGCAAUAGGACAUGUGUCGAUGACAAGGUUGAUUGGUUUGACCAUUGUGAAUCUGAUUCCUGAUCACUGCUAUGGAUCGAUGAUUUUAUCGAGGAGAUGAGGCAUCAAAAAAUAGACAAAACUAAGUUUAUUGGUUGUUGCCUGGAAAAGAAAUCAAUGAUGGUCUGAGAAGGCUCAGGUGUGAUGCUGGUACAAAUAGUAUGGUUGCUUUGGCUCCCUGGUUCAAAAUUUUAGUUGUAUAUGUUGAUCAAACUAGAAGAAUUACAUGUAGUCAUGCUAUAUCAUACCUAAGGCAAUAUAGAGCCUGAUUGGUUUGUUGCCAAAUUUUGGCAUGCCAAAGUUUUGCCAAGCCAAAAGUUGGACAAGAAACUUGCCGAUAUUUUGGUAAGAUAAGUGGGAGAGGUUGCUAAAUUUUGGUAACAAACCAAACAAUGGCCAAAAUAUUGGCUUGCCAAAUCUCUAGCAUGCUAAAAUUUUGGUAGUGAACCAAUCAGGCCCAUAAUUAUCGCCUACAAGUAAGGGGGUGUUUGGAUACGAUGUGCUAAACUUUAACAGUGUUACAUCGGAUGUUCGGAUGCUAAUUAGGAGAACUAAAUAUGAGCUAAUUAUAAAACUAAUUGCAGAACCCUGUGCUAAUUCGCGAGAUGAAUCUAUUAAGCCUAAUUAAUCCAUCAUUAGCAAAUGGUUACUAUAGCACCACAUUGUCAAAUCAUGGACUAAUUAGGCUUAAUAGAUUCGUCUCGCGAAUUACACUCCAUCUGUGCAAUUAGUUUUGUAAUUAACCUAUUUAAUACUCCUAAUUAGCAUCCAAACAUCUGAUGUGACGGGUGUUAAAUUUUAACACCCUGUUGCCAAACAGCCCCUAAUUAUUAUGGAAUGGUCAUUUCUCAUCAUCCACAUUAUAGGAAGCGUAGCCUUCCUUCAGGUUUACAGGGACUAAUAACCAACAAGCCGGUUCCACGAGCACCUAGGUAGACUAGAAUAAUUGUUGUAGUAAAUUUUUGUGUCUACUAAUCUAUCUUCAACUAAUCAUCCUCUAAAUUUUAGGAUAUCCAGCCUACUCGCUGUAGCCAAUAAAGAACCUCUGUCAUGCAUACAUUUAUGAGAAGAUGUAUGAAAAUAAGCCAGCCUUGUUAUGUCUGUUCCUUUGUAUAAAAAAAAUCUAGUUGUUUAAUAAUGAAUUUUCUGUCAGGCUAUCAGCAACCAACAAGAUCGUGGUGGACUACCAGCUCCAGAAUGUGUUUUCAUUGCUACGCUUAGGAUCAGGAGAGAUGGUGCGCAUCCUCCUCUAACUACAGGAACAAGGAAGGGAAGAGCAACAAUUAGGAAGAAGGAGGCAGCACCAAAAAAGAAAAUAAUCAAGAAGUAGCAGUUUUUAGUUCAGCCGUGAAGUCGAUGAAGUAAUGAGCUUUGUUUUGUCUAACAAAUUAAGGGGUUGGGUCUUAUUUUAUAUGCAAUAUGGAUUUAGCUUGGGGAUGGAACAUUUCAUUGCUUUCUCUUUUUUUCGGGACAUAAACAUGCUUACAAUUUUGCAUUUGAGUUAUGAUUACGGACCUUUUGCAUAUUAUUUACAUGUUAAGUCAUUAACAAUUUGGAUUACCC
rnacentral:lncRNA from 1 species